rnacentral:rRNA from 1 species
GACGAACGCUGGCGGCGUGCUUAACACAUGCAAGUCGAACGGUAAGGCCCUUCGGGGUACACGAGUGGCGAACGGGUGAGUAACACGUGGGUGAUCUGCCCUGCACUUCGGGAUAAGCCUGGGAAACUGGGUCUAAUACCGGAUAGGACUCCGGACUGCAUGGUCUGGGGUGGAAAGCUUUUGCGGUGUGGGAUGGGCCCGCGGCCUAUUAGCUUGUUGGUGGGGUGAUGGCCUACCAAGGCGACGACGGGUAGCCGGCCUGAGAGGGUGACCGGCCACACUGGGGCUGAGAUACGGCCCAGACUCCUACGGGAGGCAGCGGUGGGGAAUAUUGCACAAUGGGCGCAAGCCUGAUGCAGCGACGCCGCGUGAGGGAUGACGGCCUUCGGGUUGUAAACCUCUUUCAGCAUCGACGAAGCGAAAGUGACGGUAGGUGCAGAAGAAGGACCGGCCAACUACGUGCCAGCAGCCGCCGUAA